rnacentral:rRNA from 1 species
AGUGAAUAGAUACCCUGGUAGUCCACGCCGUAAACGAUGGAUGCUAGCUGUACGGAGUAUCGACCCUCUGUGUAGCAAAGCUAACGCGUUAAGCAUCCCGCCUGUGGAGUACGAGCGCAAGCUUAAAACAUAAAGGAAUUGACGGGACCCGCACAAGCGGUGGAGCGUGUUGUUUAAUUCGAGGAUAAGCGAGGAACCUUACCCAGGUUUGACAUCCUACUAAGGUUUCCGAAAGGAAACUGUGCCUUCGGGCCGUAGUGACAGGUGAUGCAUGGCCGUCGUCAGCUCGUGUCGUGAGAUGUUUGGUUAAGUCCAUCAACGAGCGCAACCCUUACUAGUUAGUUGGAUUUUUCUAGCUAGACUGCUCCGGAAACGGGGAGGAAGGAGGGGAUGAGGUCAGGUCCGUAUUUCCCUUACAUCUGGGGC